rfam:Oryza glaberrima chromosome 10 Oglab10_0122_1, whole genome shotgun sequence.
AAAAAGACAAACCCUGGUUUCCGUGUCCAACGUUUGACCGUCCGUUUUAUUUGAAAAAUUUAUGAAAAAAAUUAAAAAGACAAGUCACGCAUAAAAUAUUAAUCAUGUUUUAUCAUCUAACAACAAUGAAAAUAUAAAUUAUAAAAAAAAUUUAUAUAAGAUGGACAGUUAAAGUUAGACACGGAAACCCAGAGUUUGCUUUUUU